rnacentral:tRNA from 1 species
GCCUGGGUGGCUCAGUCAGUUGAGCGUCCCACUUUGACUCAGGUCAUGAUAUCACGGUCCGUGGGUUCGAGUCCCACAUCAGGCU